rnacentral:ncRNA from 1 species
GUUUCGGGGCGAGGUGCAAUUCCUCACCGGUGGUGAAACGCUGAUAGGCGGCAAGUCCACGAGCUUUGGCAGAGCUGGUUAGAAUCCAGUACCGACGGUAUAGUCCGGAUGAAAGAAA